UAGCCGGACUGAGAGGUUGAACGGCCACAUUGGGACUGAGACACGGCCCAGACUCCUACGGGAGGCAGCAGUGGGGAAUCUUGCACAAUGGGCGAAAGCCUGAUGCAGCAACGCCGCGUGAGGGAAGACGGUUUUCGGAUUGUAAACCUCUGUUUUCGGUGACGAACGAAUGACGGUAACCGAGUAGGAAGCCACGGCUAACUACGUGCCAGCAGCCGCGGUAAU
rnacentral:rRNA from 1 species